rnacentral:ncRNA from 1 species
CGGUUCCGCUUCGGCGGAUUAAAAGGGAAUCUUGUGAAAAUCAAGAACUAAACCCGUAGCUGUAAGCACCAUGAAAGCGUUUGAACGCUUUCAUUCUUUGAAAACAACCACAGAGAAGUUGUCUCGCAACUCUCAGCCACUGUUCGCAAGAAUGGGAAGGCCGUUUUCAAAGAGGUGUAAGUCAGAAGACCUACCGUGAUUU